GUUAAUUAAUGCAUGAUUUAGAAUAUCUCCUGCAACAUUUGACCACAUUUUAUCCAUCAUUGAGCCAAAUUUACGUAGAGAAAGAGUCGGAACACCAAUGAUUGAUCCACACAUAAACAAUUUUUAUCAGCAUUGUGGAGAUUAGCCACAGCAGAUUCUUUCAGGUAACAUUAUACCCAGAUAGCCAAACCUGAGCGAACAAAUUCCGCGCAAGAGUUGACAUCAAGUGUUGAUGUCUGGAACUGAUAUGUCAGGAUAUUGUGAAGGAUCAUCUUCAAGUGAACGCUUUAAUACAAGACAUAUGACAAUGCACUGGACUGUUGAAAGCAUUAGACAAAUUCAAUACCGAAGGUACGACCAAAAUUGCGGUGUUAGAAUCCUCCAUAGGGCGAUUAGCGUCUGUUGCUGAAACCGAACCAAAUGAGAAGAAGAAGACUGAGUUGUUGUCCAUCGUUGAGAGCUAUAAGGAACAAUUAAAUAUGUUCUUGGUGGUCUUUCGCAAGGCUAAUGUCGUUAGCACUUGUGUCAUAAAUUAGCUAGAGAGAAUCUGCUCUUCUUGCCAGAGGAGUGGCAAAAUGCUCUUCGUAAACGACGAGACAAAUAAAGUUUGAUAGAUUCUUCUAGCCAAAUCACAGAUAAAUUAUUCAGCAUCGUAAGGCAUCUAGCUGAGACAACUCAGAGAAGUGCUGAUAUAUAUUCGACAUAUUGUGUGAUUGUAUUUCUUUUAAUAACUGUUAUCGAAAAAUAAACUCAGAAACAGCAUUCCAUUUAAAAAAACAAAGAUGACCUUCAAAUCUUGAGAAUCACCUGAAAAAAGCGUUACCGCCGCAAGGAUUACUUCUGCACCAUUAAUAUCCUCUGACAAGGUUGAUAACACGAGAAACGAGCUGCAGUAUCAAGAGCAAGUGAUAGUGCAAUCGGGAAAGCUCUUAGGAAAAUAUGGUAAAUACGAAGUCACUGAUGAAGUAUUACUUGCAUUGGCCUUCGCGUUCUUCCUCGCCUACGUGUUUUACAUUUCACAAAAGAGACUGUUCUGAAAGCCCUUUGUAUGUGAUAUUAAUGAAAUGGAUUGAUCAUUUACGGUGAUAUUGCGAUUGUAACUUAUUGCGCAGGAACUCUCACGAUAAAUGACAUAGAGAAUGUAUGUACUAUUUAAGAGGAGAAAUCAGCAGAACUUGCAUGAAAGAGCAGCAGUAUUAGUAGCAACAAGAGCAGCAGCGUCAGUAGCAGCAUCAGUAGCAGCAGCGGCAGCGGCGGCGUCCGCGACGGAGGGGCGUCCGCGGCGGCGGCGGCGCUGGGACGUCGAUGGUAACGGGGCGUAGCCGGUGGCCGCGGCGGCGGCAGCGGUGGCGGGGCGGCCACGGCGGCGCGGCCUGGUUAUACGCUCGUAAAUGAGAGCUGCAUGGCAAAAAAAUAAGAUCCAGUUUAAUUGAAUCCUUGCGCCGCACGGAGGAUCGCAAAUGGAUCUUUGCGAGCAAUCGACGACCCUCCUAUUUUUCAUGUUCUGUAAUGUGUAAAA